GCCGGGAUGGUGUAGCGGUUAUCACGACUGCUUAACACGCAGUAGGUCCCGGGUUCGAGACCCGGUCCUGGUA